rnacentral:misc_RNA from 1 species
GGAAGGAUCAUUAACACUAAUCCAAACCUACUCAACCAAGCUCUUAUGUUGCAGACGCAAGUUUGCAGCCUUAAAAACUAACCAAAAGAAGUCUAACUAAGCUAAACCUAAACCAAAUCCUCAACGAUGGAUAUCUAGGUUCCUACAACGAUGAAGAACGCAGCGAAGUGCGAUAAGCAAUGCGAAUUGCAGAACCGUGAGUCAUCAGAUUUUUGAACGCAACUGGCACUUAGGGGUUCUCUCCUAAGUAUGCUUCUUUCAGUGUGUUUUUCUUUCCUCACCCAAAUCAUAAUGUGAUAGAUACCCUUCUAUCGCUAAACAUGAAAGCACUCUGUUUUUACAGUGUCUGGAAACGGACACACUCAAUGCAGACGUCACAUUUUACAAUGUGAACUCAUUGAUGGUGAAAGCAGCGUAGUGAAAGCUACAAGUGCUUAGAGACUUUAAUUUUCUCAGCAUCUGAAAUGAAGUAGGACCACCCGCUGAACUUAAGCAUAUCAUUAAGCGGAGGAAAAGAAACUAACUAGGAUUCCCUCAGUACGGGCGACGGAAGUGGGAAAAGCCCAAAAUGGUAAUCUCCAGGCGCGAGUCUGGCGAAUUGUAAUCUGAAGAUCGCUGGCCUAACGGGCGAGGACGCAGAAGUGGUCACGAGAGAUCCGCCAAAGAGGGUGAGAGCCCCGUCUGUGGUGUCCUUGCUUACCGGGCCGCUAUCAAAGAGUCGUGUACUCUGAUACGAGUGCACUAAGCGGGAGAUAAACUUCUUCUAAGGCUAAAUAUAUGUAGGAAACCGAUAGCGAACAAGUACUGUGAAGGAAAGAUGAAAAGCACUUUGGAAAGAGAGUUAAAAGACUUGAAAUCGUUGAGGCGGAAGCGGUAGAAAUGAAUUCUACAGCGGCGCUCAGAGACCCUGCGAAAUCAUAAGCGGAGUUGUACAGCGCCGCGGUGAGGCAAGAUGGAGUCGCACGAUGCCAGAAGCGGCAGAGAUCCGGCGGUUUACCGUAAUCUCAGUUGGCGGGGUGUCGGGCGGCUUGAGGGGCUUAGAGCGAUCUUGUCAAAAUGGUUUUUACCGACCCGUCUUGAAACACGGACCAAGGAGUCUAAGACUAACGCGAGUAUGGUGGUGGAAAAACCAACAUGCGAAAUGAAAGUAAUUGAUGCCAAGGAAACAGCAGCAUCGACCGACCAUGAUCCAACGGAGAAAGGUUUGAGUAAGAGCGUUAUUCUUAGGACCCGAAAGAUGGUGAACUAUGCCUGUGUAGGGUGAAGUCAGGGGAAACUCUGAUGGAGGCUCGUAGCGAUACUAACGUGCAAAUUGUUCGUAAAACAUUGGUAUAGGGGCGAAAGACUAAUCGAACCAUCUAGUAGCUGGUUCCCUC